GCAUGUUACCUUGAAUGGUGAGCAUCUAAGGUCCAGCUCCGUUCUCUUAAAAAGUUCUAAGAAAAAAAUCAAUAGAUUUAUUAAGAGAACACUUCGGUGAGAAGAUAAUUUCACGUUUUGGGCCGGUCGAUCGGCCAUCAAGAUUGUGUGAUAUCACAGCGUUAUUCUUUUUCCUGGCCUAUCAGAGGCGUAGAGAAAAACUCUAAAAAGUCUGCUAAGUGUUUGCACUUGGUAGAGCUUUAUGAAUACUUCGAGAUGGGCACGAAUGCUCAGAGAUAUAUUAAAGUAAAAUCGUAACAUUCGUUGGCAUAAAAGAUUAUAGCGCAAAUUAGCAGAUACAUUGAAAAUCUUGAAUGACUGAAAUGGGGGUACAAAGCUUAUAACUUAAAAAAAUUCACCCAGAACUGCGUGCGUUAGAGGCGAAAAAAAUACCAAAUUACUUGCGGAGCAUCAUACAGAGCUACUGGUGGUGGGAGGUCAAGUAAAGCUCAUAACGUGAGCUAAUAGGCAAAGCUGGCCCUGCGAUGUAAUGUUAGCGGCGAUCCCGCAGGGCCUUUCCAUAAAGCUACAAAUGGCGGAGUUAAGGGUUUAGUACGUAGGCGUAAAAUGUAAAAUUAUUCAAAGCUCUAACAAACCUGACGUUCUUUUACAAAUAAAAGCAUAAAAUAGCUCUGUUAUGUCAUUUGUAAUAACAAUUGAUAAUUUAAAACAAAUUGCAACAAAAUAUUAAAAUUGCAUUGAAGUGAAAGGUAUUAGUAUGGCAACAACAUAAUUGUGUACAUACAAAAUGGACAACUGUGUUGUUUUGGAUUGGUUUGCUUGUGGUUUAUUUUAAUUUUAUAAGAUUUUUACAUUUAUUAUUUAUAAUUAGGUUUCGUUUACAAUUAAAAUAUUAUAUUUCAGAUUUGACAAUGGAUUUAGACGAAAUUUGACUGAAGAAGUGCGUGAUUGCCAAUUUAUUUACGAUAUCUCGCACAGAGAUUAAAAAAACUUGAGGAAAAAAGACAUAGCGUGAAAGGAAAUUGCUGCACACACGAGGUUGAGCGAAUCGGAAUGUAGAAAGAGGUGAAAGAGUCUCCGUGACCCUUAUAAGUGCUGCAAAUGGAUGGAGCAAGUCGCUUCCGGCAGUAGACAACAAACUCCAAGGAGAAAAUGGAAGUAUUUAGAGGCGAUGUCCUUUUUGAGAAAAUAUUCCAAAUUCCAGGCGGUCAGGUAUGUAACAGUUUCAGCGAGGAGGGAGGAGGUUGAAAGUGAAGUGUUAGCUAUUACAAAUAUUGAUUCUCCAAUAGAAACGUCUCAGUCCACAUCUUCUGAUGCACGUGGACAAAAGUAAAUUCCACGCGUUUGAGAAGUUUUUGGAAUCAGCAGGCGCAAGCAUUUCGGCAUUGAUUAGUGAAUCGCUAAGGGCGAAUUCCACGGCACAACAUUUUGCAACCUUGUCAGCAGAAAUUAAGGACGCCGGUUUUCCGCCAAAAAUGGUUACACAGAUAGAGGCAAGAGUAUCGGCUUUUG